GCAGUUAAGACUGGCUUCAGGAAUGAAGACAGCCAGAGAUGCUGACUGGCCAGCUGUCCACAGAACAUAUUCAGUCACGAUCACGACCUUAAUGACUCAGCUUCCUCUGGGCACUUGAAGGACCAUCAACAGAUUUCUCUAGCAUCUGAAGAUGCAGUGGCUAUAAGGAUCCUGCCUCCGAAAAGCCUGGAAGACAUUUCAGAUCACAUAACCUGCUGUUCCUCCGUUUCCACACCUGGAGAAACAAGAUCACUGGAGUUAGUACACAAGUCAGGGUCAUCUUCUGGCCUGGCGAUACUAUGAGGUGCCUGUCGAGGAACAUGGUUGUGCACCCAGCUAAUGUCGCCACGUCACGUGGGUGCUACCUCGUGGUCCUGACUCGGAUCGGCCUUUACUUUCUUGCGACUCACUCUUUCUCGUGCGUUUCCUAGACGAUUCCUCCCAAACCCACUUUCUCUCACCCAAAGCAACCCUUGCUCAUCAAUAAAGAGACCUGAGUACAAAAAAUUGAAACUCAAUAUGACUUUCAUCCCGACUGAACUGGUACACUGUCCCCAACUCCAGGGCAGGAGAGAGACUUCUAGGAUUAUGAUGGUUUAAAAUUGAGUGAGG